rnacentral:lncRNA from 1 species
UGACGAGCAUGUGAGCUGGAGAAAGAGUUUAGUUGUUUAAUAUGGAACAGGCAAAAUCAUGUUUUCUCAGUAGAGUGUUAAAACCUGGUUAUAUCUCCAAUGCGAGUUUUUAGCUAUUCUUGAAGUUUUUUAGCUUCUUUAAAGUAGAGUUCAACAUGAGGAGGUUGUAGAUAAUGACUACUUUUCUUCUAUUUUUAGAUUCAAUUUCUUGUUAUACGCCUUUACAGGAGGCUACAUAUCGUAAUUAAUUUGGCAUCUUGACAUUGUUUUGGUUGCUAGGUUGCUCCAUCUUAUCUUCAACACUAGUUGGAUACUUGUUGAAAUGUCAUUGAUUAAUCUUGUGGUAUGGUUGACUAAGUCCUUGCCAUACACUAAGGGUGUGUUUGAUUAUAUUUAUUUUUCAUGGAAAAUAUCAGUUUUUCAUUCAAAUUCUUACUUGGGGUGUUUGAUUGCUAUUUUUUUUUUAUGGAAAACAUUUUUCAAUUUUUGAAAAUAUGCUUAAUUUUCCUUGUUUUUAAGGAAAAUAUUUUCCUUGGGUGGAGGUGGUUUUUGUUUUCCUCAAAACAAGGAAAACAUUUUCUUUUCUAGGUGCGAAUCAAACACACACUAAGAAAAAUGUGUGUGAAGACUCUGCGCAAAAGCAUUAUUAUGAACAAUAAUUGGAUGAUUGUUGUUUUAUUUUUCACAUUAUAAACAGGAGAAAUCACCAAAACUUUUGCUUUCAUAGACUCUAGUUCUUUCUCCAAAUGUUAGUGUCCAGUGUGUUAACUCUGCAUUCCAUGUGCUUGCAGCGAAGUUGAAUCGGAAGAUGAAUUUGACCAUAGGAAUCGAAAGACUUGUGCAUGCAGGAUAAUGUAAUCGAGCUUCUCAUUGGACCAUUGUCACUUAUAUAAAGAGAGAACCAAGGAGGUGUUGCUUGAAAUGCGGUGGUAAAAAGAUUUACUAAUCAGUGUUUUGCUUGAAGUUGUACAGAGAAAAAGAAAAUUUUGGAGGGUGCUUAAGAUAGUUUCACAGAAAGGCAGAUAUCCUGCAUUCCCCUUGGCCGACUGAUCUGUUGUGUCUGUAGUCCUGUUUGAAUUACGAUUUUGAAGCAUUGAGCUUAAUUUUUUCCUUGAUCAAUAUUCUUAUAUGAACUCACUGGUGGCGCCAAUCUCCAUUUUUCCGCUUUUUCUAUUAUUUUGAUUUUGAUUUUCUUCUUUCUUCUGCUGAAGAGACAAAUGGAAUUAUGAGUUUUGUAUUUCAUAGAUGUUAAUGUGGAGUAGAAUCGUGUCUGAAAUUGUUGUAUAGUUUGCAGUGAUUUAUUUGUUUUGGAAGGCAGCAUUCAAGAUAUGUCUAGUGCAGCCUUAGAAUGUUCGACCUCAGCGAUAGUAGAGGAAAUAUGUGAUCUGCCUGUAGUUUUUGUCAGGGUCCGAGGUACUUUGGCGCAUUAGUGUCAAAAAUGUAUUGGGGACAUCAGAUUAGAUAGUAGAUCCGAGCUCAUAUUUCAUUGAAUGCAAAGGGUGAUUUUGCCUGUUUAUGUUGUUCAAGAAGA